rnacentral:lncRNA from 1 species
UCUUCCAUAACAAGCUCUACAAUCGAUACUUCAAACGCACAUCCAUAUUCAUGGCACACGACGAAACAAAUCAGUGCAAUAUCGGCGAUCGAGCGCGAGGUGCACUAAGGCCAGGCCUCAGCGUAAGUUUAUGAGAACGAAGGGGGUAUUAUAAGAUCACAAGAUCUCAAGGUAUAUGACAAGAUGUGGCUAACAAGGAUGAGGAGAAUGAAGACAUGGAUGCUAUGACAAGUUACAUUUUAUUUAGCAAAAUGAAUUACUUCUUUUGGUGCCUGAGUGCCCCUUCUCUUCAGUCCUCUCUGCUUCUCGUUGCCGCCCUUUCUUUGCUAGACCGUCACUAGCACAUUAUUUGGUAGUCGCUGCCCCCACCGGUGUGUAGUUGAUUACUUGAAGAAGGCGGUUGGGUGCCUGCAGUUCUGGCAUCGUAGAACGCUUAAAACUAAAGCGGAAGGAAGGUAGCAUGGAGAGGCCCACUUAGAAGAAUUUCCAAGUUUGAUCAGGGGCCCCGAGGUCGUUGACAAAAAUAAAGAGAUUUCUUCUCGCAACAAAUUCCUUGGCUUGCUGAAUAGAGAUGAU